AAGCUCUUCAGGGAUAGAACCAAUCAAGUUGUUGUAGGAAAGGUCAAUGCUCUCUAUCUUUGUGAGGUUUGACAAUGACAUCGGUAUAUGUCCUGUAAGCUUAUUGUGCGACAGAUUCAGCACAAGCAUGUCCUGUAAGAUUGCAAUCUCUGGUGGGAUCUCCCCGCUAAAUUGGUUGCAAGAAAAAUCUAGUCCUACCAUGUUAAAGAGUGUGUAGCCUUUAUAAGCAUCAAAUCUUCUUUUUGAUGUGAACCCAACAAUAUGUGGAAUUUGCCAUGCUUCGUCUCCUAGAAAUUUAUCUUGGUAGAACCUGGUCUGGCUUCUAAUUGUCCUCACAUAAGAAAGAGGUGACAAUGCUUGACCUCCAUAUCUGGACAACGAUGUUGAAGUUACCUUAUCAGCAUAUCCUCUGGAGGAGAAGUUUAUGGGUCCCAAGCAAAUAGGUAAUGGACCAAAUAGAUUGUUUUCAGAAAGAUCGAUCAUACUUAAGCCUUUCAAUUUGCACAAUUGCUUGGGAAAUGUUCCAUAGAAGCUAUUACCUCUCAGUAAAAGAAUGCUUAAUUUAGAGAGGUUACCUAGCCAAUGGGGUAUGCUUCCGAAGAACUCAUUUUCACUCAAAUCCAAGGUCACCAAAUUGGAGCUGUUAGGGAGCAGAUGCACGAUCGAACAUUCAAUUUGUUCCCAUUCAGAUGGAUAUGUCUCAAUUGGGGUGCUAUGAAAGAUGAUGCUAAUGAACCAGAGAGAUUGUUGUCAGACAAAGCCAAAUACUCGAGCUUAGGAAGAUUAAAGAGUCCUUGAGGGAUGAGGCAAUUUAAUUGAUUUUUGGACAAGUCAAGGAGCCUAAGCGAUGACAUGUUUGCAAUCAAUCUGGGAAGCUUACCAAUGAAAAAGUUGUUGCUAAUGUCCAAUAGGAGCAGAUUUACGAGUGAUGAAAGAAAACAGAGAUCUCUCGUGAACAUGUUGUGCUCUAACUGUAGGCAUCUCAAAUUUAGGGUCAUGGUGUCAUCGGAAAAGAUGAUUUCUCCUUGCAAGUUGUUAUAUGCUAUGUUGAUGGUAUACAAUGAUGAGUUGCUAUCUAGUAACUGGAUAGGUAGUCCCCCGGAGAAAUUGUUGUGAGAAAGGUCUAAGACUGAUAGGUAUUUUAUACUACCCAGUUUAGAUGGAAUAUUCCCUUCUAAUCUGUUGGCUGAUAGAUUAAGCUCGUACAGAUUUGGGACAUUUAAACAAAAUACGUUCGUGAGCUCUCCUCUCAUGCCAUUGUUGGACAUGUCCAUCCACGAAAGAUUACGAAGGGUCAUCGGUGGAACCUCAAGUGUCGCAAAUAAGUUAUUUGCCAUAAGAAGAUUUUCCAACUUAGUGUUGUUUUCCAACAACCAAGCUGGAAAGGGACCCAUAAUGUCAUUUGAGGAGAGAUAAAUGGUUCUCAGGUCAUAUUGAUGAUCAAGAAAGCCAAGAGAAGACACCUUGAAUCCUUUCAAUAGACUAUUUGACAUACUAAAAUCCUUCAAUUGGAACCUCGGGAUCGAAGACACAACUUUGGAAUAAGUUGUUAGUUUAUUGUCAUCAAGCAAGAGGACCUUAAGUCUUGAAUAGUUUGCGAGUGGGCCAAGUGAUGAGGGGAUAUCAAAAUAAUUACCCGAAAUGGAAAGCAAAUCGAGUGAGGUAAGACUAGUGAGGGGAGAUGAGGCGACAUUAUCUGUGAAUUCAUUGUCUUCAAGAAAUAGAACCCGAAUAGAUGUCAUGUUUCGCCAGCACGUAGGAAGCCCGCCAGUAAUUCUAUUAUUGCUAAGAUCCAACUCUUCUAGUUUUACAAGGUUACACAAACCUGUUAUUGAUAUCACAAGUCAUUUCAAUUACAAUGGUAGAUAUCGGAACAUAUAACAAGGACAUACACAUACAUGAAAGAUUCAUUUUAUGUCCAAGAACUCUGAGAGAAAUGGACUUACUCUGAUCUGAUAGUUUGCCAUUAAGAUUGGUGCUGUAUGAGGACAACAAUCUAAGAGAUGUCAAAGGACCAAGGCUGGAAAGGAUUCCCAUGGUGGUGUUCAAUGAAGAAUAAUCCAAGAUGAGCUGUUCCAACUUACUGAAGUUAUGGAAAUCUUCUCAGAAAACGAAAGAUUAUUGAACAUCAGAUUUCCUUACAUAGACAUAAUCAAGAAAUGGUAGAGAAACAUCAUGAGUGAAUGGAACAUUUUUAAUAAAAACCUAGGCUCUGUUUAUUUCGCGAAAAAUAUGACGUUUUGUGAAACUGUUUUCUAAGAAGUCAUUUUUUAGGAAAAUGUUAAUAUUUUCCAAUAUUUGGUUGAAAUCUAAAAAUAAACCGGAAAAUAUUUUCCACUAUUUGGUAUGGGAAAUCUGAUUUGAUUUUCAUCUGUGUACUCCUUUCAAUAAUAGUUUAUUUUUAUUUAAAAAAAUAUAAUUUUUAAUUAUUUUCUUUUUCUUUUUUGUUUUUUUCCUUCUUGUCCAGUUUAUCACCAGCCACAAGUGACGUCAAGAUUGCCUGAGGUAGACGAACUUGAGCCUUGUUAGAUUGGCAAAGCCUCGGCCUUUGGCGAGCUUGUCCUUCGCCUGUGGUUAGUCCUCAUAAUCAGCUAUUGAAUGAGGAAGAAGGAAUAAGAAUAAGAAUGAAAAAAGAAAGAAAGAAAUUAAAUAUUUUUUUAAAUGAAAAAAGAAAAAAUAUCAUUUUUAAUUGUGCAUGGAGGAACAUAGGUUUAGAUGAAAGAAAGAGAAUGGAAAAUGAUUUCCUCAUUUUCCCCACUUUUGAAAACUUAGGCUCUGUUUAUUUUGCAAAAAAUAUGACGUUUUGUGAAAAUGUUUUCCAAAAAGUCAUUUUUUAGGAAAAUAAUAAUAUUUUUCGAUGUUCAGCUGAAAUCUAAAAAUAAAACAUAAAAUAUUUUCCACUAUUUGGUGUGGAAAAUCUGAUUUAAUUUUCAUCUGUGUACUCCUUUCAAUAAUAUUUUAUUUUUAUUUUAAAAAAUAUAAUUUUUAAUUAUUUUUUCUUUUGCUUCUUUUCUUUUUUCCUUCUUAUCCGGUUGAUCAUCAGCCACAAGUGACGUCAAGAUUGCCUGAGGCAGACAAGCUCGAGCCUUGUUACAUUGGUGAAGUCUCGGCCUUUGGCGAGCUUGUCCUUCGCCUGGGGUCAGUCGUCAUAGUUAGUGAUUGAAUGAGGAAGAAGGAAAAAGAAUAAGAAGAAAAAAAGAAAGAAAGAAAUUAAAUAUUUGAUUUUUUUUAAUGAAAAAAAAUAUAAUUUUUAAUUGUGCAUGGAGGAACAUAGGUUUAGGUGAAAGAAAGAGAAUGGAAAAUGAUUUCCUCAUUUUCCCCACUUUUGAAAAUGCCUUUUCCAUUGUAGGAAAAUAUUUUCCUUCACUUAUUUAUUUUCCGUAACCUAAAUGCUCGAAAAUUUGGAAAACAUUUUUUUCAAAAUUGUUUUCCGCAAAACGAACGGAGCGUUAUUAUGAGCAUACAUUUACUAAUGGGUUUGACUAACCUUGAGUAGUAAGCGUUCCUUCUAUGGUAUUAUUCUGGAGAGAAAGGAUCUUGAGGGAUGAUAGUGCCCCUAAUGCUCGCAUGACGGUCCCCACAUCCUUCAAGUGGACACCAUCCAAGUAGAGGUUCUCUAAGUGGCUCAAGUUUUUGAUGCCUACCAAUAAAAUUCCAAGAAAAUAACUUGAUUGGCAAUAAAGUUGUGAAAUCACCCAUGCGGAUGCUUCGCGACAGGGAUCUUUUGAAUCAGGUAACAUUUCUAUAUAGAAAGAGAAGGGGGUCCCAAUUUAUGACUUCUAUAUUCUCAGUAUGACGCACAUGUAAAGCUAUGAGAGACACCGCAUGAAAACUGAAACAAUAUCUUUAGCAGUAGCCGCUGCAUUGACUACAUUACAACUUAUGUCUAGCUCCUUUAAAUUAUUGAAACAACCUAAUUUAUCCAUGAACCUUGCUAACUCAAGUCAAGGAUGGUGAUUUUGUUCAGAAUUAUGAACAGAGAAUAAGUUGGAGAAACUAUCAUUCACAUUUAAAGUCCCAUUCAAAUGUUAUUUUGGAGAAUUAUCCAGAGAAAAUAAUGAAAGCACCCACGCGGAUGUCUGGGAAUAGGAAUCUUUUGAAUCGACAACAUUUCUAUAUGGAAAGAGAAUGGAUGACUUCUAUAUUCUUAAUAUGAAGCACAUGUAAAGGUAUUAAAGAGCAUGCAUGAAUCGUAGUCUAGUUAGUUUAAUUUAUGAAUACAAACAAGGAUUCUACGUGAAAACUAAAACAAUACCUUCAGCAGUAGCUACUACAUCGAUUGGAUUAUCACUUAUGUCCAGCUCCUUUAAAUUAUUGAAACCACCUAAUUUAUCCACAAACAUUGCUAACUCAAGUCAAGGAUGGUGAUUUUGUAUGGAAUUAUGAACAGAGAAUAAGCCGGAGAAACUAUCAUUCACAUGUGAAGUCCCAUUGAAAUGUUGUUUUGAAGCAUAGACACCUGAGAGUCGGAAUUGUACUGUGAACGGGUAAAAUAGAAUUAUCUAGAGUAAAUAAUGAAAGCACCCACACAUAUGCCUUGGGAUAGGAAUAUUUUGAAUCAAUAACAUUUCUAUAUAGAAAGAGAAGGGGGGGUGCAAUAUUUGACUUCUUUACUCUUAAUAUGAAGCACACGUAUAGGUAUUAAAGAGCUUGCCUACAUGACUCACAAGCUAGUUAGUUUAUUUUAUGAACAAAAAUGAGGUUCCUACAAGAAAACUGAAAUAGUACCUUCAGCAAUAGCCACUGCAUCAACUGCGUUAUCACUUAUGUCCAGCUCCAUUAAAUUGCUAAAACCACCUAAUUUAUCCAUAAACAAAGUUAACUCAUGUCAAGGAUGGCAACUUUGUACUGAAUUAUAAGUAGAGAAUAAGUUGGAGAAAUUUACCAUUCACAUGUAAAGUCCCACUCAAAUUACUGCUUUCGAGGAGCAAAUGCCGGAGAGAUGGAAUUGUACCAAGAAUGGAUAGAAUAGAAUGAUCUAGAAAGUUAUAGCUCAAGUCAAGCACCUCUAGUUUGCUUAGCCUUGAAGAUAGCAGGUUUGGUUCUGCAAACAAACAAUAAAAAGCAGUAAAAGCCGCAGAAAACUAUUCAAGGACACUUGCAAAUAGAUAUUGCCAUUUCAAGGGGAAAUAUGUCAUAGACUCGUGAAUAAAUGAUGACGUGGACAUAAUCAUCUAUGAUGCAGGAAGUAAGUAAGAACCUAAACAUGAUUAACUUAUGAGUUCAUUAGAUAAUGAGUAUCUCUUUUUUAUAGGAAAUAGACGAACGGCAAAUUUAUACCUUCUGGUGCAAUCCACCCUCCUAAAUAGUUGGAGGACAAGUCGAGGGUCUUGAGUUCUUCAAAGGGAAGAAGUAGAGAAGCGUUUAGAUACCAAGUUUUGGAGCCGAAACAGUCAUAUCUCAAAUUGGAGAGCAUUAGCCGAGUGAUUCAUCCUGUGGUGGGAUUGCACUCUACACCUUCCUAGCUGCAACUGUUGAAAUAUGAUCCCCCGGCGUCCACCCUAUAUGUCAGGUCCAAUGUGGCAUUGAGUGCUAAGAGGGCAACCUUUUCUUGCUCCCGACACCCACGGGAGCCACAUAAACAUGCGAUACCCCAAACCACCACAAACACCCACAAUGCUUCCUUUUUCAUAACUGCAAAUUUGAGUGACCAAACUUUAUAUGGAUCGCACUUUGGAGUUAACAUCCUUUUUGCAAGUUAGAGAAACUUUAUAGGAGUUCAACGGCGGCUGUGCUUGAGUGUGAAACUUGUGGUCAUGGCCAAAGUCUUGGUCAUAAUUUUUCCACGCACUUUCUUUUGUACAACCAAUAAGAAAAUCCCAAGUAGGCGAUUAAAGUCCAUGGAAAAUUUGAUCGCAAGAGUUCAUUGUAUUUGCUACUGGGGCCCUUGGCAAUUGUCAACAAAAAAAAUUUCUCCGUCAAUGUUUAACGAGCCGGAGUCUACAUGCCCAAACCUCCCAAAUUGAGCUUGUAUCUUUUUCUUACCCAACGUCCAAGCAAUAUCCUCUCAAAUAUUUUACAUUGAAGGUAUAGAUGUAAUCGUGAAUAUAUCCAACCAAAUGAAAGAAACUCUCCAAUAUAUACGCCAUUCACAGAAAGGUUUUUUGGAUUUCUUUCUUAUCCAAUCUGGGUUCAUCGAGUUAGAUUCACUCGGAAAAUGCCCUCCAUUAAUGCGUGAUCAAUGCAUAUGAGCCAUUAGAUCUUAUGCAUCUCACAUGGUCUCAUAAAAUUUACUGGUGAAAAUGCAUUAGCUCACAUAAUCGUAGCCCUUCAGGAUUGGUGUAAUUGAUUGGAGCACUUAGCGAUUUCUAGCUCAAGAAUUUGGGAAUCACCCAUUGAUCCCACUAUUUUCAUGCAAACUAGCCUUCUGCACAAAUCGACCUUUUGCAUUUAAUUGGUCUAUAGGACUUGUAGAGCAUUUCGAAAAACUUUCAGUUAACCCAGUCUUCACGCUCCGAGCCAUCAAGUAUAAAACAAAAGGCGUUAGCGCGGGAUUUCUGCCCACUCCAAAAACAAUUGUUCGGAGCGUGUACGGGUCAAAUGUGGGAAUUCCAUUACGCGCCUAACCCCUCUUCCCGAAAGAAAACAAUUAAGACGAUUGGAAAAAGAAAAAGUCUCGCAAGUGCGAGGGAGGGGGAGAAGAAGGGGUAGGGUUGCUGUGAGUUUGACGCGUGUACAGUCGCGCGUGGGGGCCCCACCCGGGUGGGGUGAGGGUCCCGCCUCGCCAGCAAAAAGUCCAAAUCCUUAUUUAUUGCGCGACUUCUGUAGAGAGGGGAGGACCAUGGCGGAGGAGGUGCGAUGAGAUGGAAACUGGGGUUCCGAUUUGGAUUUUAGCAAAUUCUCAAGUUCUAGAAAAGCAGCUCGCUCUCCUUAGUUUCUUUAUCAAUUUUAAUGAAGAAAAUUCAUUUCGGACGUCUCCCAAAAGACGCCCUUUUACGUCUUCUAAAUAAAUCACGCAGAGCUAUAUUUUAAUCCAAUUUUUCAAAAAAAAAAAAAGUAAGGGGAAAUUGAAAAGCACAUUAGGCUAGGCGUGCAAUUUCGAUAAUUUUGUCACGUAUUAAAUAUUUUAUAAUACUUCAUUUAUCUCCUAAAGAGUAUUUUUUUUUUUUUUUUCCUAAAGAGUACUUAAAGUGUAGAUAAAGCGACCACCUUUGCAAGACCUGUGCCUUUCGGGGCAGACGACUUUGGAUUUUACACCAUCAUCUGUCAAGAGAAGACCUUGAUGUUUUGAUUGACGCUUCCUCUGCAUACCAUACUCCGUGGAAGCAUCCUGGAGAGCAAUUCCACCCAAUUUUUUCAUCGUUUCAUCCAAAUCACUGCUAGAAGAAUCGUCUGCAUCAUCUGACGAAGAAGAAACCUGCUGUAACAAAUUUUUAGCGUCUAAAAGAGAAUCGCUCCCACCGAUUCCUUCCAAAUAAUCUUGAGCAAUUUCAUCAUCAACAUCUGAACCACUAUCAGACAUGUUCUCGGAGUCAUCACUUUCAAAAGAAUCUGUCGCUCGAUCCUGCUCAGCUGACUCCGACUCCGAGUCUUCCUCAUCACCAUAUGCCGCAACAUCAUCCUCACCAUCUUCCUCAUCGGAUAUAUAUUCUGUAUAUAUUUCCAAUCCCCCAAUUGAUACAAACCCAGAAUUUUCCUUCGUGGAUGUAUCCUUUGACAAAAGCUGAGCCCCCUUUUCAGCUGCUCCAGAGUCAAAGCUCUCACGAUAAUCCACUUCCUGCUCAGGCGAUGACAUGCCACUCUGUGACUCUUCUCGAUUUUCCAUUUUCCCUGAUGAUGCUUUGAUUCCCGUUGGAGCUGCAUUGUAUUCAUUACAAUAGCCCAAUCCUGUGUGUGAGCUAUCGCCGAGAACAAAAUCUGAAUGAUACUCAUAACUGAUAUUUGCUUGAUCCACUGACGAUGGCCCUUCAUCUACAUAAGCAACAAUUUGGCUGUCCUUUGAACCACACAGAAUGAAAGGCUGAGAAAAUUCCAUUUUAUUCUCUCCAUUUGUAUCUCCGAACGUCGAUACUGGAUGCAAACCAUCCUGUAAAAAAAUAUAACUAACUCAGAUCAACACAAGUGAGAGACUGAGAUCAGCUGAUCCGCCGCCACCGCCGCCGCUGUUUAUUCUCGAAUUCGAUCUCCUCUUGCCUCCAGCCAUGUCCGAGCUCGCGAAUCAACUUCGAUUGAAUCUUCUGACCUAAUUGAUCGAUCGAUCGAGAUCGAUUUGGGGGCGAUGACGAGAGAAAGGGAUCACCUCCUCCCGCGUGUGGUUUCCUUGCCUUGGGGGAAGCGGUCACAUCUGGACCGUUGGCUAUUCGCCGUGGGCCGCAAGGGGACUCGUGGACGGCUGUGAUGCGGCGGCGGGAGCUUGGGGAUGUCAGAUUCCACUACGCAAACAGCUGCGGCGGGGGGCUCUUUCUCUUUGGGAAUAUGCGAGAACCAAUGCCAUCGGCCAAUCAGCAAUUCAGCAUGGUCUUUUGGGAUUGUCGUGGACAACUAGUCUAGCUAGGUGGAAUUCGACCUUGGUUUUGCAAUUUGAUAGGGAUCCUCUAAAACCUUUUUGGCUUAGGCUACCGAAAUCACGACCAUUUGUGAUGUAUUUAUAUGUUAAUGGGAUUAAUUGAGUCAAUUUGCUCUCUCAAGUCAUGGGACCCCAAAUUUUCUUUAAGGAAGUCUCUAGAUAUUUAGACAUUAAUUAAAGGAGAUGAGACGCAAUAAUGAUCACUGAGUUUUGCAUAUCCAGUAUAAUUUAUUCGUCGAUACAUGAAAGAUCUCUAAGUAGAAAUAGUUUUUUUAUUACUGUAAUGAAGUUGGAUUGCACGCAAACUAGCUUUCCUAGAUGCUCAUUUCUUUUUAUUGAAGAUACCACACUGUUAUAAUUGGACAACAACUUCACAAGUUGCUUUAUAGAAGUUUGUCAUGUUUGGGAGGUUGAAGAUGUCCUUGGGGACCAUCCUCGCUUUACAUUUUGAAGAUAAGCACACCAUGAUGCACAAUCAUAAGAAAAAUUAGAGUGGCAACAAAUUACACUUCUAAUUUGGUUUGCUCUUCAAUUUGCAUUAGCCUUGUAGACUAGAUAUGCAGCGGAAGAUACAAUGUGGAAGAGAGAUUAUUUCGAGAAGGCGAACAAGGGAUGGUAUUUUUAGCUGGCAAUUUGGUUGCGGUUUUAGCUACCUACUUUGGCAAUUUGGUUUGCUCUCUAGAUCACCAGAUCGCGUGACUUUCAAGGUCAAAAGCCACGAGCAUUCGUGCUGCCUUUGAGCUUGUGGCCAUGGCCUUGAGUGCAACAUUGAAGCUCUAACAGUUAACAUUGGCAUGGUGGAAGAUGGCCCGGGGGGGGGUUAUUUAUCUCUUUUUCCUUGGGUCCAAGGGUUUGUUUGUCUUUUCAACUUGGGUCUUUCUCUGAAAAUGCAAAUUGUGCAUUAUAAAAAGUGGGGAUGGUUUUUCCAAGGUUCUCUAUAUUUUUUCCUCUAUUUUUUUUUUUUUGUGAAAAAAGGGCAUAAUACCUUACUUAUAUGUUAUUUGAUAUAAUAAUUCUCUUUUGCACGUUAAACUUGCUUCUACAUAUUUUAGAUAAUCUAUAAGGUCGAUGUUAUAUGAUGCGUAGCUUUAUCACAAUCCUGCCUCUAGAGCUAAGCUCCUAGCGUAAUGUUAGAAUGUCAUUCCGCACAGAUAGGGCUAGCAAAAGUAGUCAUGAAAAUGCAAGUUUGACCGUGAAUUUAACUAUCUCAUGAGACACUCUAGCACAAGUGCACCUUCAUAAAAGUUAGACAGAAAUCAAUGUCCUAACCAAAUUGCAUAUGAGCUAUGAACCUAUGAAUUUGAUGAACAUGCAGUCAUUCACGCUAUCUUGUCAAGCAAGAGGAGUUUUAUGUCUCGAACGGUUUGUGAAUGGACCGAGUGAUAUAUAGAAACAAAAAUUUUCAUUCGGAAAUGAAAGCAAAUGUGCUAUUGUAGAAAUAACAAAGGUGAGAAGAGACAGCUGUGUUUUUCUAGUAUUGUUUGUUAUCAUUAUUAGUAUGAUCACUUAACCAAAUAAAGAUGAGCUAGCAACUACGUAAAAACCACCUUUUCAAAAAAGGGAAGGAUCACGGCAUGCAUUGUCUUCAAGGAAAUUAAAACAAUACCUUAUUCAGUUGUGAAGGUGAAAACUUACAUUGACCCAAUAAAUCCACAUUGAGGCCAACGCUCAUCAAAGACAAUAACAAAUGAUAGGAAAAAAACUCAAUCCUACCAUUUCCUAGAAAUACAAAACGGGAGAACCUAAAUUGUUGGGCCACUGGACAAUUUUCGAAAACCAUCUUGCACAAAAUAGUAGCAUGUGAUGAAUAAGCUCCAACAUGUGGUGAUAACCAGUUCCACAUAAUGAAACCAUCCCUGCCGCCAUUGGGGGUUGAUGAACAAAACAACUAGAAUUACCAGUAAAACCAUAGUGUAUGACACUCCGAAGCUAAUGUAGAAUGUCUCUCCGUCUAUGAAACCAUCUUCUUUAGCUUUCGUGCAUGAUUUUGUUGCUGAGCAAUUAACAUUAAUGGUUGUCAAACAGUUAUUACUCAACGGCAGUCCACACAAAAGAUGGUUUCCGUAGUAACUGCUUUCAUCGAAUGACCCAAAUUGAUUUUUGUUUGGUAUGGCUCCUGACAAGUCGUUGUAAGACACAUUGAAGACUCCCAAAAAAUUCAACCGAGUGAGCUCUUCAGGGAUAGAACCAAUCAAGUUGUUAUAGGAAAGGUCAAUGCUCUCUAUCUUUGUGAGGUUCGACAAUGACAUCGGUAUAUGUCCUGUAAGCUUGUUGUGCGACAGAUUCAGCAUAAGCAUGUCUUGUGAGAUUGCAAUCUCUGGUGGGAUCUCCCCACUGAAAUGGUUGUAAGAAAAAUCUAGUCCUAUCAUGUUAAGGAGUGCGUAGCCUUUAUAAGCAUCAAACCUUCUUUUUGUUGUGAACCCAACAGUAUGUGGAACUCCCCAUUUAUCGUCUACCAGAAUUUUAUCAUGGUAGAACUGGCUAUCGUAGAGUCGGGCCAAGCUUCUAAUUGUCCUCACAUAACACCAGGGUGACAAUAAUUGACCUCCAUAGUCGGAACGCGGUGUUGAAUCUACCUUAUUGGCAUAUCCUCUAGAGGAGAAAUUCAUGGGUC
rnacentral:lncRNA from 1 species